GCCCCCGUAGCUCAAUGGAUAGAGCGUCGUCCCGCUAAGAUGAAGGUUCCGGGUCCGAGUCCCGGCGGGGGCACCA
rnacentral:tRNA from 1 species